rnacentral:rRNA from 1 species
AACGAACGCUGGCGGCAGGCUUAACACAUGCAAGUCGAACGAUCCUUCGGGAUAGUGGCAGACGGGUGAGGAACACGUGGGAACAUCCCUUUCAGUUCGGAAUAACGUUGGGAAACUAACGCUAAUACCGGAUACGUCCUUUGGGAGAAAGAUUUAUCGCUGAAAGAUUGGCCCGCGUCUGAUUAGCUAGUUGGUGAGGUAACGGCUCACCAAGGCUACGAUCAGUAGCUGAUCUGAGAGGAUGAUCAGCCACAUUGGGACUGAGACACGGCCCAAACUCCUACGGGAGGCAGCAGUGGGGAAUAUUGGACAAUGGGCGCAAGCCUGAUCCAGCCAUGCCGCGUGAGUGAUGAAGGCCUUCGGGUUGUAAAGCUCUUUUGUCCGGGAAGAUAAUGACUGUACCGGAAGAAUAAGCCCCGGCAAACUUCGUGCCAGCCGCCGCAGUAA